ACCUUUUCGAAUUUUGGGCUUAAGGGAGCGCAGGCGGUCAUUUAGUCUGUUGUGAAAGGUGCGGCUCAACCCCGUGCUUGCCCCGAAACCUAUUGUGCUGGAUUCCUGAAAAGGUGGACGGAACUCCACUGUUACAGGUAAAUUUCUAAAAUUUGUGUAGAACUGCCGAUGAUAAAGAUACUUUCUGGAACGGUACCUGACCCUAAGCUGCGAAACCUGGGGAACCAAACGGGAUUAAAUCCCCUGGUAUUCCGGCCCGUAAACAAUGAUACCAGGUUGUGGGCGUAUAGACUGUCCCUGCCCCAGAAUAUGCGAUAUAUAUUCCCCCCGGGGGGUACACCCGCACGGCUCAAACUCGAAGA
rnacentral:rRNA from 1 species